rnacentral:rRNA from 1 species
CCUACGGGAGACAGCAGUGGGGGAUAUUGCACAAUGGGGGGAACCCUGAUGCAGCGACGCCGCGUGGGUGAAGGAGUGCUUCGGCAUGUAAAGCCCUAUCGGCAGGGAAGAAGCAAGACGGUACCUGACUAAGAAGCCCCGGCUAACUACGUGCCAGCAGCCGCGGUAAUACGUAGGGGGCGAGCGUUAUCCGGAUUCCCUGGGUGUAAAGGGAGCGUAGACGGCCAUGCAAGCCAGGGGUGAAAGCCCGGGGCCCAACCCCGGGACUGCCCUUGGAACUGUGCGACUAGAGUGCGGGAGGGGCAGGCGGAAUUCCUGGUGUAGCGGUGAAAUGCGUAGAUAUCAGGAGGAACAACGGCGGCGAAGGCGGCCUGCUGGACCGCGACUGACGUUGAGGCUCGAAAGCGUGGGGAGCGAACAGGAUUAGAUACCCCUGUAGUC